rnacentral:rRNA from 1 species
UACAGAGGGUGCGAGCGUUAAUCGGAAUUACUGGGCGUAAAGCGCGCGUAGGCGGAUAAAUAAGUUGGGUGUGAAAUCCCUGGGCUUAACCUAGGAAUUGCAUUCAAAACUGUUUGUCUAGAGUAUGGUAGAGGAGGGUAGAAUUUCCGGUGUAGCGGUGAAAUGCGUAGAUAUCGGAAGGAAUACCAGUGGCGAAGGCGGCCCUCUGGACCAUUACUGACGCUCAAGUGCGAAAGCGUGGGGAGCAAACGGG